CCUACAAGCUUACCGACCCCAAUCAAACUCCGAAUACCGAAUACAUGUUAUGUGGCAGUGAGGCUGCGGGGGAUAAGCUCCGUAGCCGAGAGGGAAACAACCCAGAUCAUCAGCUAAGGUCCCUAAGUCGAUGCUAAGUGACAAAGGAUGUUAAAUCGCCCAGACAGCUAGGAGGUUGGCUUAGAAGCAGCCAUCCUUUAAAGAAAGCGUAAUAGCUCACUAGUCAAGGGGUUUUGCGCCUAUAAUACCCGGGACUAAGCAUCGCACCGAAGCUAUGGAUUUCAAUAGUUUACUGUUGAAGUGGUAGGUGAGCGUUCUAUUAACCUGUGAAGGUUGACCCGUGAGGGCAGCUGGAGGAGAUGGAAAUGAGUAUGCUGGCAUGAGUAGCGAUAAACACGGUGAAAUACCGUGUCGCCGAAAGUCCAAGGUUUCCUGAGUAAAGUAACUCUGCUCAGGGUUAGUCGGACCCUAAGCCGAGGCCGAAAGGCGUAGGCGAUGGAAAACGGGUUUAAUAUUCCCGUACCAGUUCGUAAUCGUUAUAACUAUGGGGGGACGCAGAAGUGAAAGGUCAGCCCGGUUUUGAUUGUCCGGGUUUAAGUGUGUAGGAGGGUCCGGUUGGUAAAUCCGCUGGAUUAUUAACUCUGAGACACGAAUAGGAGGGCCUAGCCCAUAAACUGACCAUAAUCCUGCUGCCAAGAAAAGCCUCUAUGUGAGAUCAUGAACUGACCGUACCCUAAACGGACACACGUGGACGAGGAGAGUAUCCUAAGGCGCUUGAGAGAAUCCAGGUUAAGGAACUCGGCAAAUUAACCCCGUAACUUCGGGAUAAGGGGUGCCUUGAUUAGGUGAACACCUUUGCGGUGGAAGCUGAAAGAGGCCGCAGUGACCAGGCCCAAACGACUGUUUACUAAAAACACAGGUCUCUGCUAAAUCGUAAGAUGAAAUAUAGGGACUGACACCUGCCCGGUGCCGGAAGGUUAAAUGGAAGUGUUAGCUUCGGCAAAGCUCUGAAAUGAAGCCCCGGUAAACGGCGGCCGUAACUAUAACGGUCCUAAGGUAGCGAAAUUCCUUGUCGGGUAAGUUCCGACCUGCACGAAUGGUGUAACGAUUUGGGCACUGUCUCAACCUGGAGCUCAGCGAAAUUGAAGUGUCGGUGAAGAUACCGGCUACCCGCGGCAGGACGAA
rnacentral:rRNA from 1 species